UGACCCAUAACCGCAACAGAAAGUUUAACUAGUUUCAUAUGAACUGGUUUGGCAAGAGCUUCCCAAAAUGGAGGAUAUUCAAGAAUAUGGAUUCAGGAAAUUAUUGUAAGUCUUUAUGUUACAAGUGAUGCAAUUGGUUUGUUUCAAAAAUAGUUCACUUAAUUAUAAUUAGGAUAUGCAAAUUUUCUAUCACAUCAAUUGCUUAGCCAUGUGAGUAUCAAGCCAGGCUGUGUUGCGUCAUCGAAUAAAUUAAAAUAAGAAAAACUAUAAAUUUUGUAUU
rnacentral:lncRNA from 1 species